CCAGCAGCCGCGGUAAUUCCAGCUCCAAUAGCGUAUAUUAAAGUUGUUGCAGUUAAAAAGCUCGUAGUCGGACUUCUGGCCGUGUCGGACGGUCCGCCGCAAGGUGUGCACUGUUCGGGGCGGCCAUCCUCUUGAGGACCGCGUGUGCCCUUCACUGGGUGGGCGCGGGACUCAGGACCUUUACUUUGAAAAAAUUAGAGUGUUCAAAGCAGGCUUACGCUUGAAUACAUUAGCAUGGAAUAAUGGAAUAGGACUUUGGUUCUAUUUUGUUGGUUCUAGGACCGAAGUAAUGAUUGAUAGGGAUAGUUGGGGGUGCUAGUAUUAAGCGGCCAGAGGUGAAAUUCUUGGAUUCGCUUAAGACUAACUACUGCGAAAGCAUUCACCAAGGAUGUCUUCUUUAAUCAAGAACGAAAGU
rnacentral:rRNA from 1 species